rnacentral:rRNA from 3 species
AUACGACUGUCGGCAACGGAUAUCUAGGCUCUCGCAUCGAUGAAGAACGUAGCAAAAUGCGAUACUUGGUGUGAAUUGCAGAAUCCCGUGAAUCAUCGAGUUUUUGAACGCAAGUUGCGCCCGAGGCCACU